CUCAAAAUGUUUUUCCUCAAAAAGUUUUUCUUCAAAUUUUUUUUUCGUUUCCUUAUUCGUUUUUUUUCCUUUUUCGAUUAUCAUCCUUAUUCGAUUUCCAUUUCCUUAUUUCCUUAUUCGAUUUUCAUUUCCUUAUUCAGUUUCUAUUUCCUUAUUGGAUUUUCAUUUCCUUAUUCGAUUUCCAUUUCCUUAUUCGAUUUUCAUUUCCUUAUUCGGUUUCUUUUUCCUUUUUCAAUAUUCAUUUCCUUUUUCGGUUUCUAUUUCCUUAUUCGGUUUCUAUUUCCUAAUUGGAUUUUCGUUUCCUUAUUCGAUUUCCAUUUCCUUAUUCGAUUUUCAUUUCCUAAUUCGGUUUCUUUUUCCUUUUUCAAUAUUCAUUUCCUUUUUCGGUUUCUAGUUCCUUAUUCGGUUUCUAUUUCCUUAUUGGAUUUUCAUUUCCUUAUUCAAUUUCCAUUUCCUUAUUCGGUUUCUUUUUCCUUAUUCGGUUUCUUUUUCCUUAUUCGGUUUUUUCCUUUUUCAAUUUCAUUUCCUUUUCAGGUUUCUAUUUCCUUAUUCGGUUUCUAUUUCCUUUUUCG
rnacentral:lncRNA from 1 species